rnacentral:rRNA from 1 species
GAUGAACGCUGGCGGCGUGCCUAAUACAUGCAAGUCGAGCGAAUGGAUUAAGAGCUUGCUCUUAUGAAGUUAGCGGCGGACGGGUGAGUAACACGUGGGUAACCUGCCCAUAAGACUGGGAUAACUCCGGGAAACCGGGGCUAACACCGGAUAACAUUUUGAACCGCAUGGUUCGAAAUUGAAAGGCGGCUUCGGCUGUCACUUAUGGAUGGACCCGCGUCGCAUUAGCUAGUUGGUGAGGUAACGGCUCACCAAGGCAACGAGGCGUAGCCGACCUGAGAGGGUGAUCGGCCACACUGGGACUGAGACACGGCCCAGACUCCUACGGGAGGCAGCAGUAGGGAAUCUUCCGCAAUGGACGAAAGUCUGACGGAGCAACGCCGCGUGAGUGAUGAAGGCUUUCGGGUCGUAAAACCCUGUUGUUAGGGAAGAACAAGUGCUAGUUGAAUAAGCUGGCACCUUGACGGUACCUAACCAGAAAGCCACGGCUAACUACGUGCCAGCCGCCGCAGUAA